rnacentral:rRNA from 1 species
AAGCCUGACUUCGGUUGGGCAAGUAGAGUGGCAAACGGGUGAGUAACACGUGGAUAACCUACCCUCGAGUGGGGAAUAACCCCGGGAAACUGGGGCUAAUACCGCAUACGAUCCAUCGGACUAAGUCCGGUGGCUGAAAGCCUUCGGGCGCUGGAGGAGGGGUCCGCGGCCGAUUAGCUAGUUGGCGGGGUAAAAGCCCACCAAGGCACAGAUCGGUAGCCGGCCUGAGAGGGCGCACGGCCACACUGGCACUGAGACACGGGCCAGACUCCUACGGGAGGCAGCAGUGGGGAAUCUUGGACAAUGGGCGAAAGCCUGAUCCAGCGACGCCGCGUGACUGAUGAAGCCUUUCGGGGUGUAAAAGUCUUUCGGCAGGGACAAUAAUGAUGGUACCUGCAGAAGCAGCUGCGGCUAACUACGUGCCAGCAGCCGCGGUAAUACGUAGGCAGCUAGCGUUGUUCGGAAUUACUGGGCGUAAAGCGAGUGUAGGCGGUUUGCCAAGUCCGUUGUGAAAUCUCCCGGCUCAACUGGGAGGGUGCGGCGGAAACUGGCAGGCUAGAGUGCGGAAUGGGAGAGUGGAAUUCCUGGUGUAGCGGUGAAGUGCGUAGAUAUCAGGAGGAACACCGGUGGUGAAGACGGCUCUCUGGACCGCUACUGACGCUGAGACUCGAAAGCGUGGGGAGCAAACAGGAUUAGAUACCCUGGUAGUCCACGCCCUAAACGAUGCAUACUUGGUGUGGGCUCUUCACUGA